UACAGAGGGUGCAAGCGUUAAUCGGAAUUACUGGGCGUAAAGCGCACGUAGGUGGCUGGGUAAGUUGGAUGUGAAAUCCCCGGGCUUAACUUGGGAAUUGCAUUCAAGACUGCCUUGCUAGAGUGUGGAAGAGGGAAGCGGAAUUCCAGGUGUAGCGGUGAAAUGCGUAGAUAUCGGAAGGAACAUCAGUGGCGAAAGCGACUUCCUGGACCAGUACCGACGUUCAGGCACGAAAGCGUGGGGAGCAAACAGG
rnacentral:rRNA from 1 species